rnacentral:rRNA from 1 species
CCAAACUGUUGCCUCGGCGGGAUCUCUGCCCCGGGUGCGUCGCAGCCCCGGACCAAGGCGCCCGCCGGAGGACCAACCAAAACUCUUUUUGUAUACCCCCUCGCGGGUUUUUUUAUAAUCUGAGCCUUCUCGGCGCCUCUCGUAGGCGUUUCGAAAAUGAAUCAAAACUUUCAACAACGGAUCUCUUGGUUCUGGCAUCGAUGAAGAACGCAGCGAAAUGCGAUAAGUAAUGUGAAUUGCAGAAUUCAGUGAAUCAUCGAAUCUUUGAACGCACAUUGCGCCCGCCAGUAUUCUGGCGGGCAUGCCUGUCCGAGCGUCAUUUCAACCCUCGAACCCCUCCGGGGGGUCGGCGUUGGGGAUCGGCCCUGCCUCUUGGCGGUGGCCGUCUCCGAAAUACAGUGGCGGUCUCGCCGCAGCCUCUCCUGCGCAGUAGUUUGCACACUCGCAUCGGGAGCGCGGCGCGUCCACAGCCGUUAAACACCCAACUUCUGAAAUGUUGACCUCGGAUCAGGUAGGAAUACCCGCUGAACUUAAGCAUAUCAAAAGCCGGAGGAAA